rnacentral:misc_RNA from 1 species
CACCCCCCAAGCAUUGCUUGAUGUUGGGUCCUGACGUAAGUCAGACCCCAAACUCCUAGGCGCCUCUGCCGGCCGCAAACGUAGCAUUGUUACCGUUCUGCGUAGUUGGUAGGGUCUGCCUUGAACGUCUUCUGACAUAUCAA